rnacentral:lncRNA from 1 species
CAGCUGUGUACCAUAUCUCCCAUUAUGAUGUGAUCAUUCAACGGAAUGCCACCAAUUCUCUAGCUCUUGAUGUGUGUAUAUGGAAAAGAUCUGGGUUCAGAGAGUCCUGUUCUGAAGUUUUCAUGAGCCAACUAAAAGCACUUCCUGUAGUGAGGGAGCCUUGGAGCCAAUUGAUCCUGGAACUUGAGCCUGGAGGAGCCCCUCAGACAGCUUCCUUGAGAAUGUCAAGUGGAAUGGGACAAGGGGAACAAUUUGUUCUAGCAAGCACAAAGGCUGCUAAAGCAGGCACUGAAGAGAACUUAGAGCUUGGUCACAAAUCAAGGAUUCCAAGGCCAUCCACUGCAACCUGGCCAUUGCCAGUCCUCCUGACUUUGCCUUGACACUGGACUUCAGUGCCCCUAGAAGAGAGAAUGAGGCAGAUGCCUUUGUGCAACUUUGCCUCACUUACCUCCAAUUUGUAUGCAAAUCAUCACACUGUGAAGUUCUUGGUCCUAUUCCAAAAAUAAAGGAAAACAAAAAGCAAUUACA